rnacentral:ncRNA from 1 species
GAGAGCCGUAUGAGGGAAAACUUCACGUACGGUUCGAUGAGGGGACGGCCCCGUAAGGGGCCUCCUACUACCCAU